GAUGAACGCUGGCGGCGUGCCUAAUACAUGCAAGUCGAGCGAACAGACGAGUAGCUUGCUCCUCUGACGUUAGCGGCGGACGGGUGAGUAACACGUGGAUAACCUACCUAUAAGACUGGGAUAACUUCGGGAAACCGGAGCUAAUACCGGAUAAUAUAUUGAACCGCAUGGUUCAAUAGUGAAAGACGGUUUUGCUGUCACUUAUAGAUGGAUCCGCGCCGCAUUAGCUAGUUGGUAAGGUAACGGCUUACCAAGGCGACGAUGCGUAGCCGAUCUGAGAGGGUGAUCGGCCACACUGGAACUGAGACACGGUCCAGACUCCUACGGGAGGCAGCAGUAGGGAAUUUUCCGCAAUGGGCGAAAGCCUGACGGAGCAACGCCGCGUGAGUGAUGAAGGUCUUCGGAUCGUAAAACUCUGUUAUUAGGGAAGAACAAAUGUGUAAGUAAAUAUGCACGUCUUGACGGUACCUAAUCAGAAAGCCACGGCUAACUACGUG
rnacentral:rRNA from 1 species